UUAAUAUCUGAGAUAAAGAGAGUAACAACAUCGGAAUACCAAGCGAGCUAGGGAUGGUGUUAGCCUAGUUAUGAUGAGUUGUGAACCGCACUUUGGAGAUGCUUAAAAGAAAAACGCAUGCGCCCUUUUUCUUUUAAGCCGGAGACUCACCGUUAGGAGAAAGUGGCCUAUUAAAGGCAAAUUGAGUGGUACCGCGGAAGUUCAAGCUUUCGUCUCAUCA
rnacentral:ncRNA from 1 species